GAUCCAUGUGGUUCCUAGUUACACUGAAUAUGAAUAGAAGACGGGAUAGUCACAGCUGGAACGACAUGGAUCAGACUUAACCUGAGGUUGAACCAAAACAACAGUAACUAAUUAUUACUCAUUAGGCUGUCUGAAAUGAAAACUGGAUGGUCAGAACUGGAAUGCCUUCAUCAAGAUUAAUCUACGUACGGUUUUUCUACUACAACAAUAACAAAGAAUAUAGUCAACGGUACACAGUGCCACUGAAAAAAAUGGGGAAAAAAAGGCGUGAUGGUCAUUAUUGAAUCUGGAGUAAACAACCAUAGCUACCACUUC